rnacentral:rRNA from 1 species
AUCGUAACUCCUACGGGAGGCAGCAGUGGGGAAUAUUGGACAAUGGGCGAAAGCCUGAUCCAGCCAUGCCGCGUGUGUGAAGAAGGUCUUUGGAUUGUAAAGCACUUUAAGUUGGGAGGAAGGGCAUUAACCUAAUACGUUAGUGUCUUGACGUUACCGACAGAAUAAGCACCGGCUAACUCUGUGCCAGCAGCCGCGGUAAUGCAGAGUGUGCGAGCGUUAAUCGGAAUUACUGGGCGUAAAGCGCGCGUAGGUGGUUUGUUAAGUUGAAUGUGAAAUCCCCGGGCUCAACCUGGGAACUGCAUCCAAAACUGGCAAGCUAGCGUAUGGUAGAGGGUAGUGGAAUUUCCUGUGUAGCGGUGAAAUGCGUAGAUAUAGGAAGGAACACCAGUGGCGAAGGCGACUACCUGGACUGAUACUGACACUGAGGUGCGAAAGCGUGGGGAGCAAACAGGAUUAGAAACCCGAGUAGUCCUAGAGC